AUUUUUAUAAAUGAAAAAUUUUAAAAAUGUGUUUCACAUUCAAAUUCUGCCCCCUUUUACUCUGAUAAACCUAAAAAAAAGUCCACUGUAACCAAUAGCCCUCAGUCAACCUGCAUAAAACUUAAUCUCAGUAUAAAUCCAGCUGUUGUGCUGAGGCUUUGUACGUUAGUGAACAAGAAGACCAAGAAACGCAUAAAGCUUGGAACUUUAAAUCAAGAUUAGGCUAUUAAACGGUGUUGCAAGCUUUGUACUGCACCACGAUCCAUGUGGUAGAAAGAAACAACGAAAGAGAGCAAAAUUAUACUUUUUGCCCAACAUUAUACAUGAUGACGCUGAACACAUCAUCCCCAUGAGAAAACACAGUGGUAGCGGUAUGAUGCUGUGGGACAUGAAAACCUUUUUAUAGGCUGCAGAAGACUUUAAACUGGGGCAGAGGUUCACUUUCUGGGUUACAACGGAAGAGUGUGCUGUCCACCAAAUCUGACUGCAAAGAAGAACGGACAAAAAAAAGAAAAAGAUCUAGAUGUGCCUGACUUGGGGGAGCUGAGCACAAGUACAAGCCUCACUUUACAGAUUUGUGUUUGUAAGAGAUUUUCAAAAACGUUCAUGACUUUCAAUCGUGCACAACUCGGUGUUGAUCUGUCACGUAAAACCCCAAUUAAAAUAUACUAAAGUUUGUAUUUUAGAGUGACAAGUUGUGGGAAAAGUUAGAGGGAUAUGGCUAUUUUUGCAAGACCGGGUGUUUAAAAAUGCCAUCUGUAAAGGUUUGUGAAAGUUUCAGUGAGGUCGCUACAUCCAGACACAAGGUCAGGUGUUUGUUUUGCUAAAAAGUUUGAGAUAGUUUCUAUGAACCGGACAGGACGGCUCCCGUGUCAGUGGGUUGUGACUAUGAAUGUGUGGUUGUGUAUUAGAGUCCAGAUAUUUUUUAAUGGUGUGUGUGUGUGUGUGUGUGUGUGCGUGUGUGUGUGUGUAUGUGUGUGUGUGUGUGAUAGGUAAUCGGCGGAAGGCCGUGCCUCACCUUAACACAUAAAAGUAGUCCCUGUCUGUAAGGAGAACGGGGUUUCGGAGCCUCUCCCCGCUCGCCCGGCUCGCAUCAUCCAGUCGGUCUCCGCCCCUCCGCUCCAUCAUCAGCUCACAUCCAGGGGGGGGGAGAAAAAAUAGAAAGAAAAAAAAAACGACAGGAGCAGGAGGAACCACGUCGGUGGAAAUAAGGAACCAUGAAGGACCGCAUGCAGGAACUUAGACAUGGCAAGGAGACGACAGAAGAAGAGGAUGAAGUCGCUGUGGGGAUGGACAAAGGCUUCAUGGAGGAAUUCUUUGAACAGGU